rnacentral:rRNA from 1 species
AACGAACGUUGGCGGCGUGGAUUAGGCAUGCAAGUCGAACGAAUCCCAGUUUUGUAGCAAUACCGAGCUGGGGGAAGUGGCGAAAGGGGCAGUAAUACAUGGGCAACCUACCCCGGGGACGGGGAUAGCCUUCCUAACGGAUGGGCAAUACCUGGCGAUUUGGUUGAGGGGCAUCUCUUGACCAGGAAAUGAAUUUCGCCUCGGGAGGGGCUCAUGCGAUAUUAGCUUGUUGGCGGGGUAACGGCCCACCAAGGCAAAGAUGUCUAGCGGGUGUGAGAGCACGACCCGCGCCACUGGCACUGAGACACUGGCCAGACACCUACGGGUGGCUGCAGUCGAGGAUCUUCGGCAAUGGGCGCAAGCCUGACCGAGCGACGCCGCGUGGACGAUGAAGGCCUUCGGGUUGUAAAGUCCUGUCGAGGGGGAGGAAAGCCGAAAGGUUUGACCUAUCCCUGGAGGAAGCACGGGCUAAGUUCGUGCCAGCCGCCGCCGUAAUAC